GCCAGUGUGACGUAAUGGCUAGCGCAACUGCCUAGUAAGCAGGAGACCUGGGUUCGAAUCCCGGCGCUGGUA